rnacentral:rRNA from 1 species
GACAGAGGGUGCAAACGUUGUUCGGAAUUACUGGGCGUAAAGCGCGUGUAGGCGGUCUGAAAAGUCGGAUGUGAAAGCCCCGGGCUCAACCCGGGAAGUGCAUUCGAAACUGCCAGGCUAGAGUGUCGGAGAGGUUGGUGGAAUUCUCGGUGUAGAGGUGAAAUUCGUAGAUAUCGAGAGGAACACCGGUGGCGAAGGCGGCCAACUGGACGAACACUGACGCUGAGACUCGAAAGCGUGGGGAGCAAACAGG